UGUACAUGUUUGUCUUUCAACAUGAUAUCAGAGCUGUGUUCGAUCUAUAGUGCAAGUGAUUGUUGAAGAUUUGUCACCGCUAAACGUGCUACAUGCCUACAUCAAUGACAGAAGCUAGUGAUGACGCAGGAAGAAUGAUAUUUAUGGUGGACUAGAAACACGCCUAAUCUUUAAUUUACGUUUUUAUUUCAUGCUGUUACAUUUAUUUAAAAUAUGUUAUACUU
rnacentral:lncRNA from 1 species